CCGGUCAUUCAGAAUCUUCACUCUACAGGCAUACUCUACAUUUUUAGUUUCAAAUGUAGUGUACGACUAUUUCUUUUACAUUUUCUUUUAUGCCUGUAAAUCUCCGGUCAUUCAGAAUCUUCACCUGACAGACAUACUCUACAUUUUUAUUUCAAAUGUAGUACUUUCUCCUUGACUGUCCAAAACCAUCAGUCUGCAGGAACACUUUGAAUUCCUAGCUUGUGAUCACUUGCACAUUAUUAUUACUUGUGCGAGUGAAAAGUAACACUAUGGAGGAGCAAGGAAGGAAAGGCCCAAUAUUGAGGCUAACCCAGGUGAGCUCAAACCAAAGAGGGCAGGAAUUUUGGCAGCUUGAAGAGUGGGUAGUAUUGCACUCCACAUGAUUUAGUGGCACAGGACACCAGCAGCAUCAAGGGGACCCAAGACGCAAGAGAUCAAGGUAAUGAGAUAAACAGUAAGGUAGGCAAAAGACAUAAGGAGUUUGUGCCUGCAUGGAAUCAUAUGACUGGCUCUGGACUGCAAGAAAUGACCGCAAGUGAAACCAUAUUACCAGACAACAAGACGCAAGAGAUCAAGGCAAUGAGAUAAACAGUAAGGUAGGCAAAAGACAUAAGGAGUUUGUGCCUGCGUGGAAUCAUAUGACUGGCUCUGGACUGCAAGAAAUGACCGCAAGUGAAACCAAAUUACCAGACAACAAGACGCAAGAGAUCAAGGCAAUGAGAUAAACAGUAAAUAAAGCAGAAGACAUAAGGGGUCGUCUCAUAAGACAUUUCGUCGCCCAAAAACACCUAUUUGACAAAGCUUUCAUAGGAGUUGUAGGCAUUUCCAGUAGUAGUUUUAUGACCCUGGUGGUAGUAUGACCCUUCCUCUGUACCAUGAACCUGAA